rnacentral:rRNA from 1 species
GACAGCAGCAGCCGCGGGAAUACGAGGGGGGCAAGCGUUGUUCGGAAUUAUUGGGCGUAAAGGGUGCGUAGGCGGCUUGACAAGUCUUGUGUGAAAUCUAUGGGCUCAACCCAUAGUCUGCACGGGACACUGUCGGGCUUGAGAAUGGGAGAGGUGAGUGGAAUUUCCGGUGUAGCGGUGAAAUGCGUAGAUAUCGGAAGGAACACCUGUGGCGAAAGCGGCUCACUGGACCAUUUCUGACGCUGAUGCACGAAAGCUAGGGGAGCAACCAGGAUUAGAUACCCCCGUAGUCCCUGUCUCUUAUAA